GUUACCAUACUUUUCAAUUGAAAUGAAGGUUUUUCAUCAGCCUUAAAAGUGUAAGAAAAAUAAAGCUGUCAUUCAUUACUUUAAAAAAAAA
rnacentral:sRNA from 1 species